rnacentral:rRNA from 1 species
UACGGAAGGCAGCAGUGGGGAAUAUUGCACAAUGGGCGCAAGCCUGAUGCAGCCAUGCCGCGUGUAUGAAGAAGGCCUUCGGGUUGUAAAGUACUUUCAGUCGUGAGGAAGGUGUUAAGGUUAAUAACCUUAGCAAUUGACGUUAGCGACAGAAGAAGCACCGGCUAACUCCGUGCCAGCAGCCGCGGUAAUACGGAGGGUGCGAGCGUUAAUCGGAAUUACUGGGCGUAAAGGGCACGCAGGCGGUUAAUUAAGUUGGAUGUGAAAUCCCCGGGCUUAACCUGGGAAUGGCAUUCAAGACUGGUUAGCUAGAGUCUUGUAGAGGGGGUAGAAUUCCAUGUGUAGCGGUGAAAUGCGUAGAGAUGUGGGGGAAUACCGGUGGCGAAGGCGGCCCCUGGACAAAGACUGACGCUCAUGUGCGAAAGCGUGGGGAGCGAAACAGGGAUUAGAUACC